rnacentral:lncRNA from 1 species
GGUCUGUCGGCUUUGGUCUCAGCUCUACUGUGUGACCUUAGGGGAAUGACUCCACCUCUCUGAACCUCAGUUUUCUCACUGUGAAAUGGACAGCACAGUUGUCCCAGUUCCACAGGGUCACAUUAUCAGUGCCACCUAAGACGGUAGACACAGGGGCUGGAUACUGUGGCUCACACCUGUAAUCCCAGCACUUUGGGAGGCUGAGGCAGGUCAGGAGUUCAAGACCAGCCUGGCCAACAUGGUGAAAUCCCAUCUCUAUGGAAAAUAAAAAAGUGUUAGCCGGCCAUGGUGGUGGACGCCUGUAAUCCCAGCUACUCAGAAGGUUGCAGCAAGAGAAUCCCUUGACCUGGGAGGUGGAGGUUAUAGUGAGCCGAGAUCGUGCCACUGCACUCCAGCCUAGGUGACAGAGCAAGACUCCAUCUCCAGAAAAAAAGAAAGAAAAUGGACACAGAGUGGCCACAUGGGCCCACUGGGCUGCUGAUUCUCCGUGCCCACCUUUUUCUUGCAGCCACUUCUAGGGAUGUAGCUGGGGUUAGGCCUCUGUUCCCCAGGACACUCCCGCUCUGAUCAGACUGUCUGUGACCUGAGCAGGAAGCUAGCCAGAGGCAAUACCCACCCAGAUCCUGGAGGCAAGAAGCCAACAGGCGGGAACAAAGAAUUUUCCGUGGCUCCACUGUUCAUGAGGAACUGCCACUCUUCAGGGCCUCAAUUGCUCUUUCACCCUCUUCUCCUUCCCCAGAUUUCCAUCACUGGUGAUAUUUACAUUGGAAUUAUGCCCAGGACUUCAGGAACCCAGCAUGGGGGGCUUCUGUCAAUUGCAAGUCCCUGCUGAAAAGCAAAGAUAAAGAUGAAAAUGAAGAUGAAGAUGAAGAGAGGGAAGGCCUCUCUUCCCUCCAGAGGCUCAGAGUCUGCGGUGGUGGGUAAGCAGCAGGUACCUAGUCAUAUGUGCUAGCUGAGAGCACUCUCUACGGGAACAGAUCUGGGAUGAGAUCCUUGCCAGUUACCAGCUGUGUGAUCUCUGGCAAGCUACAAAGUAUAUGUGAGUGUUGGUUUCGUCAUCUGUAAAAUGGAAGUAAUAAUACAUCCCACCUCAGUGGGGUUUGUGAGUUUGAGAAGAGACCUGACAGUGGCAGCUGGCAGUGCAGCAGAGAUGACAGCCCUUUUGCUAAUGGAAGCCUGAAGCUGCUCCAGGUAGCAAAAGCGCCAGGCCCGGUGCAUGAAUCAUGAGUGGGCUAAUCCGUUGACAGCGAAGCCUUUCUCUCUGCUGGAUACUGGCUUUCCCAGCUUCCCUGGCAGCUAAGGGUGGCCAUGUGACCCUCCUCUGGCCAUUGAGUUAUAAGAGGAAGUCUGCUGGACUUCCUCAAUAAAAUACAGAGGCGGAAGCCUUUGCUUUCCCUACUUCCUGCCUGUGAUGAGCUUCUGAAGCUGAAAGUCCAGCAGCUGUUUUGUGCCCACGAGGCCUCCAGCUUGAGGAU